ensembl:misc_RNA Metazoa_SRP Metazoan signal recognition particle RNA
GUCCAGGAGGUAGUGCACUAUGCUGAAGUCCCAGCUACUUGGGAGGCUGAGGCAGGAGGAUCCCUUGAGUCCAGGAGGUAGUGCACUAUGCUGAUUGGUUGUCUGCACUAAGUUUGGCAUCAGUACCAUGAUCUUGCAAGAGCAGGAGACUACCAGGUUGCCUAAGGAGGAGUGAACUGGCCCAGCUUGGAAAUGAAGCAAGUCAAACCUCCCAUGCUGAUUAGUAGUGGAAUUGCACCUGUGAAUAGCCACUGCACUCCAGCCUAGGCAACAUAAGACCCCAUCUCU